rnacentral:lncRNA from 1 species
UGCGGAUCCAGAAUGUCACGGGUCUGGGUCAGAUCUGAUAGUCACAGGUCUGUGUAAUUUUAAAAGGACUUGUCCGGAAGUGCCCUUACAGAUCCAAACGUGACUGCUGCAGUAGAGAGAUGUCAUCAUUUAUGCUGCUUCUCCACCAGAGUGGAGCUUGUUCUGUAGCUUGUUGUUGUUGUUGGCCAAUCAGAAGUCAUCAAAGCGGCAAUAGGCUACAACGACCAAGAGCCAACAGGCAGGCUGCAACUUAAUAAUCUGAAUGGAGUUGUUGUUAUUUGUAACUGUAGGAUGAGAAAGCUCAGGCACAGCAGCCUCAAUUAGCCUAGCUAGCUAACGUUCUCCAGGUUUGAUGCAGCCUCAAUUAGCCUAGCUAGCUAACGUUCUCCAGGUUUGAUGCAGUCAAGGCAGGUACUAUGGAAUCAUAUUUGAUGAUAAGCUAGCUAUGGCAGCUAUUAGUCUACUAUGGUGCAAGUCAGCUUGGUUGGUUGCUGUCUCUCGUCUCUCAUCUCUCCCUCCCUGCUCCCUCCUCCCUGCUCCUCAUGUCACUCACUACAGCAGCACCUCUCUCCCUCUGGUGCUUUAUCAGCUCUGGUUAAUAAAGUAGCUUAAAAAAAUGACUUUUCUGCUGCUUCCCUCACUCGGAUCAGACCGGGUCUGGAUCCAACCAGGUCUAUACGGAACGUGUCUAGUUGUCCUUGAGUCCGUUCGGAACAGGUCCAACUUUUUGGUCGAGUGCCCCCCGACCCCAAAUCCGGUAGUCCAGCCCUGGCUAAAGCCUGAGAG